rnacentral:rRNA from 1 species
CCUACGGGUGGCUGCAGUGGGGAAUAUUGCACAAUGGGGGAAACCCUGAUGCAGCGACGCCGCGUGAGUGAAGAAGUAAUUCGUUAUGUAAAGCUCUAUCAGCAGGGAAGAAAAUGACGGUACCUGAGUCAGAAGCCCCGGCUAACUACGUGCCAGCAGCCGCGGUAAUACGGAGGGGGCAAGCGUUAUUCGGAUUUACUUGGUGUAAAGGGAGCGUAGACGGCAGUGCAAGUCUGUAGUGAAAGGCGGGGGCUCAACCCCCGGACUGCUCUGGAAACUGGCCGGCUGGAGUGCAGGAGAGGUAAGUGGAAUGCCUGGUGUAGCGGUGAAAUGCGUAGAUAUUAGGAGGAACACCAGUGGCGAAGGCGGCAUACUGGACUAAAACUGACGCUGAGGCUCGAAAGCGUGGGGAGCAAACAGGAUUAGAUACCCGAGUAGUC